UAAAAAAAAAAAAAGAUAAAGAAAUAUGAAAAUAAUAGAAAGGAUAAGAGAGAAUAAUUGAAAGCUUAAAAGUUGAGAGAUUAGGAAUGGAGAAAUGUUGGUGUGAAAAAAAAUGGAUUUGGGUGGACAUUUAUAGGAAAUUCUAAAUUUUUCAUCCUCCUAAAAUACCCCUAAAACUAGCUAUUAUAUUAUUGUUAUAAAGGAUAAAUAGUCAUUUAUAUGCACAUUUUUUAUAAAAAAAAAUGGCUAAAUGGAAAAGUGGCAAAUAAGUUGAACUAUUCAAAUGAUCGUAUGACCGUUGACUUUGAGGCGUGCCUUUAUUUAUUAUUAUUUUUUUAAAACUAGCGGGUCAAAACCAAACCAAAUCGUUGGGCCAAACCAAUUUGUUCAUAGGUCAAUGAAGGAGGGACUAGGCCCCAUGGCUGUUCUGGUCCGAGCCAAGCUCAACAACUGUUGGCCAACUCUGGUGCAGUUCUCGGCCCAACUCAGCCCAUGGCCAACCCUAGUGCAUACCCAUUAGCAAUACUAUUUCAAUCCACAUCACAAAUAACAUGUUGACAGGUGUCAGCUGAAAAGCAUUUUGAUGAAGGCAAAAUACUGGACCAUUUUUCUUUCACACCAGGUGAAAAUAAUCAACAGAUGUAGAUAUAUUGUGGCCGGCAUGGGAAGGACUUUGUCACCCAUGACCAAGGAUUCCCCCUUGGUAAAGAAUGGGUACAUGCCAUAAAUCCCAAGGGCAAAGACAUGCAAACUCCGAAAAUAUCCAACAAUAAAAACCAUCCUCGCAUAGGAAACAACAAAUCAAAGUGCUUCGAUCAGUCAGUUAUGAAUCUACUAUCACAGAAUGACAAAGAAUAUCUAAACAGAGAAAUAUGAACUCAG
rnacentral:misc_RNA from 1 species